UACGGAGGGGGGCUAGCGUUGUUCGGAAUUACUGGGCGUAAAGCGCGCGUAGGCGGCUUUGUAAGUUAGAGGUGAAAGCCCGAAGCUCAACUUCGGAAUUGCCUUUAAGACUGCAUCGCUAGAAUCGUGGAGAGGUGAGUGGAAUUCCGAGUGUAGAGGUGAAAUUCGUAGAUAUUCGGAAGAACACCAGUGGCGAAGGCGACUCACUGGACACGUAUUGACGCUGAGGUGCGAAAGCGUGGGGAGCAAACAGG
rnacentral:rRNA from 1 species